rnacentral:lncRNA from 1 species
UGAGUACUUGAAUUAAAUCCUCCCGGAUUAUAUAUGUCUCUUUCAAUUUUUGAUUUCUCUUUAUGGGAUUCCUAACACAUUUUUUUUUAAAAUUGAAAAUGCUCCAUUAAGAAAGGAAACAUCAUGGGAACAACCUCUCCCAUGUGAGGCAAAACCCAGCACUGUUUAACAUGUUAAAGCUAACACUAGACCUUAACAUACCCAAGAUACACGACCCUUAGCCGUAGAGCAACAACACAAAAAGGAAAAAGACAAACAAACAAGAAGAUAAAUGUCCCAUUCUACAAUUGCAUAGGGCACGAUUAUUGCCUGCUUCUAACUCCAACUCCUGCAGCCUACAAGUCUGGAAAUCGUUCAGGAAAAAAACUUUAUUAGCUUGGAAGCACCCUUUCCUGAUCACGCAGACCUGCCUCAUCAAUCAAAUCUGUUACACAAACCCGCAGUGGAGAAUCUUUAUUGCAACCUUUGUUGGCCAAGAAAUCUGCUUCCACAUUACUCUCUCUAUAGAUGUGCCUUACUUCAACACAAUUUACCUCAUGUGUCAGGAAUUUGAUGUGAUUCAAUUCAUUAACAAGCCUCGAAGGUCUUUUCUCACUAGACCCUAUCUAACCCACCGUGACAGUCGAGCCGCUUUCAAUUAUGAUGUUUAUGAAGAGAAAUUCCUAACACAUUUUCCUAUAGUCAAUGCAUAUUUGAUUCAAGAAUUUUUCUGGCAGUGUGUUAGCAAAGCUCUUAAGACUUAAUGUACUAACCUUAUAGAAUGCUCAACUACUUCUCCAACAAAAUUGUCAAUCCAUAGGCACAAAACCCAUUAUGUGAUUGAGACUACAAAAACUUGUGAAUGGGGAAAUUCUGCUAUUUUACCUUCUUUUUUGGAAAGUUUAAACUUAAUACUACAUAUCUUCCAAUUAAGAAAAAUAAGUUAUUGACCGCUGCUAAUUACAUCUUGAUAGAUUUGCAAUUUUUAUGGUUAGUGGUCGUUAAAAGUUGUCAUUUAUGUUGGAGGGAUAUCUUUCAUAUUUUUUCAAGAUCUACCAUACAAUAUAUGGGGCCAAAAGACAAAAUAUAUGAUUUUAGCCCCAUAAGUUAUAAAAAAAUUAUUCUGAUAACUUGUAAAUUUGCAAAUUCUUCACACGAGACAUAAUAUUAUAACAUAUAUCAAAUUCAAUAUGCCAUAGAAGAAUUCUUUGGUCAAUUUCUCCUAAGCUCUUCCACUUUGUCACCCAUAUGACCACAAUACAUCAACAAAAUGGUAAGAAUAAUGUAAUGGAAUUUUCAUAGUGAAAUUACUUGUAAUAGAUUCCUUGAAAGCAUUCUCAAAACUGUUACCAUGAUUUUUUUAAGACACUAUAUCAGUGAAAUACACCACAUUUUCAGUUGAUACAAUGUGUUAUCAUCAUGAUCAACGUCUAUGCCAAAUAUAAAUUUAUAAGGAAUGGAUAGAGGAGACUUGUAGGGAAUAAGAUCAAAAAUCAUAUAAUAGAACAUACCCUUCAUCCUUGAAUGUAUGGUUGAAGAAAGUAAAUUAAAAUCCAUGAUAAGAUCGCCAUCUCUGCCUCGAAUGUCACCAUGAAUUUUGCUUUCUUCAACUACAUCUCAAAGGACGGAGAGUAUAUUUUGUUAUAUGAUUGUGAUUCUCUUCCGUACAAUACUCCUUUGAAUUCAAUACCUUUUAUAAAUUUUAUAUGUGACAGAGAUGGUGAUCUUCAUGAUAGUCACUUCGUAUCAACUACAAAUGUGGUGAAUUUUAUUGAAAAGGGGUGUGAAAAUAACAUCGUGGUUCCAGCUUUGAGUAAUGCUUUCAAAGAAUGUAGUUCAAUUUCCUUGUUCCUCACCCCCAAUUAAAUAUAUAGACCAUGUGAUAUUUUUUUG